AAACUUGGAGAGGGGUGGAGAGGGGCACUCUGGCUUUGAAGAAUUUGAAGACUGCACAGAAAUUAUUAUUGGAUGUUUAAGUAGAGAAAAAAAAGCUUCCAAGUGAAGAGCUAAUUUCUCCAGCCUAGUAGUUUCUGAUAUUAUUACGAGGCCUUGGGAUAUUUUACCAGUGCAAAAUAAUAGCUGCUGGAGAAAGAAAAGCAGUAAUCACAUUCCUUAUAACUGAGAAAAGAAACCAACCUAUGUGACAAACAAGCAUAACUUCAGAAAUUCACUGCAGUCUACAAGCCCCAAACCCCAAAGGGACUCAAAGUGGGCCUGGAAACAGCAGAGGACCAGUGAACUAAGGUAGGAAGCAUUUUUGUGUUUAAUAAGCAAAAAAUUAAUAGAAACUGGAAACAUUUGUCUGGGAAAAAAAGCAAUGCCUGAAACACUUCCGUGGAAUUAAAUUCAAGAUCUGAUUUUGAUGGAAGAUAUCACAAGAGAAGGUGCAAUGUUGAAUACCAAAAGAUACCUAGCUAUAUUACUUAAUUGCAGAUGACUUGGAGUAGAAUAUUCCUGAAAAUUUGAAAAGAAAUAAAGAAGCAGAUGGAGAUUUUUCUCUGCAGAGGUCAGGAGUUCAAAGUAAAAACCCUUCUUCAAACGCCUCUGCAUGAGUUCCAGCCUUCAGGCUAGAUAUUGUUUGCCAGCUCAGCAAUUUUUCCAACCCUGAAGACAUUCAGCAGCACCUGGUGACAUGAGUGGUCCUUCCAAAGGGUUCUGUUGGAGCCAGCCUUUCCUUAAGGCAAGGACAGACAUAUGCUUGGGAAC